rnacentral:tRNA from 1 species
GCCUGGGUAGCUCAGUUGGNNGCGGAUUGAAAAUCCGCGUGUCGCUGGUUCGAUUCCGGCCCCAGGCACCA